UAAAGGUUCAGUCCAUUUUUUUUAAACUUGUGUGUGUUGACAAGAGAUACAACGAACGGUUAACCCAAUGAGGGCAACUGAAUGUCCACAAACGUCACAUAAAAAAGGAAUCUUGCAAUAUCGUUUGGAUUAAAGAUGAGGUCGGGUCAAAUCUAUUUCUGUUAUCCCAUUGUAUCGCCGGUUUCCCCAUACUACAUUUUGGAACUGCCAUUAUAUAAGUAAGCAUAGUUUAAUUCCGGGUGUAAAGUUUCCGAUUUACCUGAUUAUUUAUACUCGGUGGAAAAAAUACACUGGUGCACUUUAUUCCGUCUGCAUUAAAUAUCAAGUCCCCAGUUUAGUCAGCAAAUGCAGCUUCUAAAAGGAAUAGAGUUUCAAAGAAGUAGAUCGUACGUCGGUGCUCCUUCUAAGUAGGUGCAAGGAUGGCAAAAAUGUUACUGAUUCUGAUCAUAGCUAUCGCUGUUUUGUCGAGUAUAGAAGCAGAAAGUUACAAAUGUCGGCAAAAGAGACAUAAGGCCAAUCAACGCCCAAGCGAAAAUUAUCUAGCUUAUAAAUUGGAAGAAAUCAAUCGCGAACAUGGCAUAGAGAAAGAAAAAGAACCGAGUGAUGAAGAGUAUGAAAAAGAAAGGGAAUUGGACAGACAAGCAAGCUACCAGGCUCCUGGACGGCUAUCAAUUUCAGAAACGCUCUACUGCUUGUUUAUAGUUCUUGUAUUGGCUGGCCCUAUAGUUUAUUUAAUCUUGUUCGUCGCCAGCAAGUAUGGCAGUGUAGGAGCACGACCAAAUACGUACCAAGAACAAACGUGGGAAUCAGUCGAUAGGAUGCAAACAAGUAAUACUAAUUUUAUGAAACAUAUGGACAUGUUAAAAAGGCAACGAGAGGAAAACGACAGAUUUUAUAAAUUCACGCAAAACGGAUUAAGUCCCAGAGCAUAAUUUUAGACACUGCGUUGCUGGAGUAUUGUGUUUGCAUUACUUGACGUAAACCGUGUACAAAUACACCUAAAGGCUUUUUAGUCUUAUACGAAAAAAAAAACCAAAAACAGUCAACUAAACAACUAACUUCCUGUUUGGGUCAAGUGACGCAAGAAAAAAGGUCAUAAGUAUUGACCUGAGGGUGGAAAACGUUUAAAAAGUGAACAUUUUGAAAUUUGUAUAGUUCAUGAUCCAAUUUUUUAAACACAAAUUAAAGUUAGAUUUUUUGUUUG